ensembl:lncRNA
AAAUAAAAAAAUAAAAAAAAAAAAAAAAAACUGUUCAACUUGUAGCAAUAGUUAAAAGUUGUAAAUAAAAAUGUGUUAUUUAUUUAUAUGUUCUGUAUGAAAAAACUGCCUAUUUGAAAAAUGAAAGAAUUAAAAUAAUUAUAUAUAUAUAUAUAUGUAUAUGUAUAUGUAUAUGUAUAUGUAUAUGUAUAUGUAUAUGUAUAUGUAUAUGUAUAUACCUAAACAUGUAAACGCACGUGUAUGUUCGUAUGCAAGCAUGUACAUAAGCUAGUAGGAGUUUGUGACUUACGAACACGCAAAAUAAAAGUUUUUAAAAAAAUGUUCUUAAAAAAAUGUUUUUAAAAAUUAUGAAAAAAAAAAUUGUACAUGUAUGUACAUAUGUAAAUAUAUACAUAUACAUAUAAAUAUACAUAUUAUAUUCUCGCCAAUUUAGCGAAAUUAUUAUACAUUAUGUUUUAUAUAUUUAUUGAAGCGUACCUGUUUUUAUUAUAAUUAAAAAACAAAAAAAAAAAAAAAAAAAAUGAUGCCUGUAAAAGCGUCACUAUUUUUGUACCAUAUAUCCGGUCUAUUCACAUGUAUUGUAUUUUAUUAUAUGCUUAAAUAAGUUCAUGUACACACAUAAAUCAAUUAUAUUAACAAAUAUGUAUACAGGUCAUACACUCAAAUAUAUACAUAUACAUAUGUUUGUAUAGAUGGACACAUAGUUGUUUUUAUAUAACCUGCACAUUUUUUAGUAAACGUGUUUAAUCGCUCGUUCAUGGUAUUAUUUUACCCAACGAAAUGCGUUUUUAAAUUUUAAAAGUGCAACAAUAUACAUAUAUAUGUUCAAUGAAAAUUGAAAAAAUAUAAAAUUGAAAAAAAUAAGAAAAAUAAAUAGAUAGUUUUUAUAACCUCUCCCACAUUUCUUGAUGUAAUGCAAACGCUCAAAGUGCUUUCUUUGAAAAUAAAAAAAAAAAACCAAUUUAAAUAUUAUUUAAAUGUAUAUUAUUUAAAUGUAUGUUAUUUAAAUGUAUAUUAUUUAAAUAUAUUUUAUUUUUAUAUACAAGUUUAUACACAUAACUUUAUUUUUUAUUAUUAACCAUUUAUUUAAAUAUUUGCAUUUUUUUUUUUUAUACUAAUGCUUUUCUUUUUCUGUUUUUAAAAAUUUUUAAUACAUAUGCAUAUGUAUAUACAAGAUAUGUAAUAUAAGUCAUACGUGCAAUAUAUAUAUAUAUAUAUAUAUAUAUAUGUAACAAUACAAUUUAUUUUUGUACAUGUAUUGUCUCUACCAUAUAAGUGCCAACUAAAAUGUGUAUAUUUUCUGUUCUCCUGUUUUUUCCUGCAAGUUAAAUAUAUAUGUUAUAUAUUAUAGCACCAAAAAGAAAAAGAUAAAAAAAAGGGAUAAAGAAAAAAAAAAAAAAAAAAACUAAACUAAACUAAACUGAAAACUGCUUAUUUUUAUAUUAAUAACAAUCUUGUAUUUGUUUAUGCGUACAUGUACGUACGUGUUGAUACAAUACAAUUUUUAAAAUGAUGGCAUGAUUUUUAUAUAGUGCGUUUUAAUUGUGUUUACACAUAUGAACUUAUGUACAUAAAUAUGUACAUAUAUAUAUAUAUAUAUAUAUAUAUAUAUAUGCACCUACGUAUGCACUUACGUAUGAUUUUUUUUUUAUUUUUUUAUUCUAGAUUCUUCCAUAUUGAAUAUUAUUCAAUUAGAACUAGGUUUUUAUAAAAAAAAAAAAAAAAAAAAACGAACAAUUAUACUUUUUAUUUUUUCUUAUCUUCGUAUCUUUUUCAUUUUAUUUCUAACAUUAUUAUAUACAUACGUAAAUACACUAAAGAUUAAAGGUUAAAAAAAAAAAAAAAAAAAAAAAAAAAAGAGACAGUACAUAUAGUACUUAUAUAUGUUGUCUUUAUUUUUACAAUUUUUCUCUUUUUGAAAAAUACGUUUAUUAGAACAAAACCACGCUUCAUUAUAAACCAGUACUCAAGAUUGUACUAUCUGGAACUGUUUUUUUUUUUU